rnacentral:rRNA from 1 species
AUUGAACGCUGGCGGCAGGCUUAACACAUGCAAGUCGAACGAAGUUAGGAAGCUUGCUUCUGAUACUUAGUGGCGGACGGGUGAGUAAUGCUUAGGAAUCUGCCUAGUAGUGGGGGAUAACUUGGGGAAACCCAAGCUAAUACCGCAUACGACCUACGGGUGAAAGGGGGCUUUUAGCUCUCGCUAUUAGAUGAGCCUAAGUCGGAUUAGCUGGUUGGUGGGGUAAAGGCCUACCAAGGCGACGAUCUGU